rnacentral:rRNA from 1 species
CUUACGGGCGGCUGCAGUAAGGAAUAUUGGUCAAUGGAGGAAACUCUGAACCAGCCAUCCCGCGUGAAGGAUGAAGGGGCUCUGCCUUGUAAACUUCUUUUGUCUGGGGCGAAAAAGCUCGAUUUAUCGAGAACUGACGGUACCAGAAGAAUAAGCACCGGCUAACUCCGUGCCAGCAGCCGCGGUAAUACGGAGGGUGCAAGAGUUAUCCGGAAUCACGGGUGUGAAGGCGGCUUUGUAAGGCUGUGUUGAAAGGCUGUGGCUUAACCAUGGAAUUGCCAUUGAUACUGCAGAGCUUGAAUGAGGUUGAGGUUGGCGGAAUGUGACAUGUAGCGGUGAAAUGCUUAGAUAUGUCAUGGAACACCGAUUGCGAAGGCAGCUGACUGGACCUAUAUUGACGCUGAGGCACGAAAGCGUGGGGAGCGAACAGGAUUAGAUACCCCAGUAGUC